GCCCUUUUUCACCCAAAAAUCCCCUUUUUCCACGCCAAAAUGGCCGCUUUUUCAACGCCCAAAUCCCCCUUUUCAACCCCAAAAUCCCCGCUUUUUCGCGCCAAAAUGUUCCAAAAUGGCCCAUUUUCACCCCAAAAUGCCAUUUUUAACACCAAAAUGCCCUAAAAUGGCCCUUUUUCACCCCAAAAUCCCCCUUUUUCACCCCAAAAUGCCCCAAAAUGGCCCUUUU
rnacentral:lncRNA from 1 species